UGGGGAAUAUUGCACAAUGGGCGCAAGCCUGAUGCAGCAACGCCGCGUGAACGAUGAAGGUCUUCGGAUCGUAAAGUUCUGUUGCAGGGGAAGAUAAUGACGGUACCCUGUGAGGAAGCCCCGGCUAACUACGUGCCAGCAGCCGCGGUAAUACGUAGGGGGCUAGCGUUAUCCGGAUUUACUGGGCGUAAAGGGUGCGUAGGUGGUCUUUCAAGUCGGUGGUUAAAGGCUACGGCUCAACCGUAGUUAGCCUCCGAAACUGGAAGACUAGAGUGCAGGAGAGGAAAGUGGAAUUCCCAGUGUAGCGGUGAAAUGCGUAGAUAUUGGGAGGAAAACCAGUAGCGAAGGCGGCUUUCUGGACUGCAACUGACACUGAGGCACGAAAGCGUGGGUAGCAAACAGG
rnacentral:rRNA from 1 species